UACGUAGGGUGCAAGCGUUGUCCGGAAUUAUUGGGCGGAAAGAGCUCGUAGGCGGUCUGUCGCGUCUGCUGUGAAAACUCGGGGCUUAACCCCGGGCCUGCAGUGGGUACGGGCAGACUAGAGUGCGGUAGAGGAGACUGGAAUUCCUGGUGUAGCGGUGAAAUGCGCAGAUAUCAGGAGGAACACCGGUGGCGAAGGCGGGUCUCUGGGCCGUAACUGACGCUGAGGAGCGAAAGCAUGGUGAGCGAACAGG
rnacentral:rRNA from 1 species